CACAUGUCCGGCCAGAUCGGUCUCGUCUCGUCGUGCGGUGCGCUUGUCCCUUUCCACCGCCCCAACCAAAUGAGGAGGAGGUCUUUCCCAAUUGGGCUCCCCCGCCUCCACGACACUGCCUCCGCCUCGCCAAGUCCGCCGCCUCCAUUCCUCUCCUCUCCCCCUCCUCCGGUGAGUACUUCUCUCUCUCUCUCGCCAACCGGAGUCCCUUGCUGAUGCACACUGCGUUUCUGUUUAAUCUCGCGGCCAGCGCUCGAUCCGGUUCCGUAUGGGGGAUGGGGGCGUCUAGCGCCUUGCACGGUGACUAACUGACACUUCUCAUUUAGUAACACAGGUUGUGGAAAUGGGGGAUUUCUUAGGGCUUUUAGGCUUUGAAGGCAUAGGAAAUUUGUAAUUUGUCCAGGACUGGCAUGUAGCAGGCUGCGAUUAUUGGGCGCAGUGGACAAUGCUAUGAUGGACACUGUGGCAUAGGGACUGGACGAGAUAGUGUAGAGUGGAGAGCCUAGAGGGGAGAUGCUGCUUGUUUAAUCUGAGAUGGUGGUGCUACGAAAUUGUCUAGAACGAGGUCCGGGUCAUGCCUUUUUUUUUUGACGGUCAAAGGGGGGAGACGUUCCCCACCUGAUUUUAUUAUGGUUGGCCCAAAAACGGCCUUUCAGUUAAGCCGAGUUACAAAGUUUACAAAAGACAGGGUUACAAUUAUCAUGCCAUUUUUGUUUCUGUCCCGUUAACCCAUCAAUUGUUCUCAGCAUAGAAUAACUUCAUUAGUAUUUAGCAACCUGGAUCAAUUUACUCAUGAUACUUUUAAGUCUUAAGACGUAUACAUAUGGGAAAAGGCUUCAUGAACUGUGGGUCUAGUGGCUCCUCUUGAAUUUGCAGUAGUCUGCCUGUGCCUAUUGGCUGAACCAGAGCUGACCCCACUUUAUCAAGAGUUGCCUCAAAAUGGACACUGGCCGCCUGUCAUCUAUGAACAUUACUGGAGCUAGCCAAGCAAGACCUUUUGUGGGACAACUUCCUCCUCAGAGAUGUUUUGCGAGUAGUCACCAUGUGAGCUUUGCCGUGAAAAAUCUUGUCUUAAAGAGUAAAGGAAGGCGAUCACACCGUAGACAUGCUGCCUUGCAGGUUUUCUGCAAGGAUUUUCCAAGACCUCCACUAGAAAGCAUUAUUUGGAAGCUGGGCAGUUUGCAAACGCCCGAGUAAACCGUUGCAGGAUUGUCUGGUCAACGGCGAAAUAUCUGGCAGAUGCUGGCCAUAAACCCAUAUUGCUUGAGGCAAGAGAUGUUUUGGGCGGAAAGGUAGCUGCUUGGAAGGAUGAAGAUGGAGAUUGGUAUGAGACUGGGCUUCGUAUCUUUUGCAACUCCCGACGGAUCUAUUGCCUCCCCCUGCCAUGCUACUCCGUUGGCCGCCAUGAAUGACAACCGGGGAAGCUUAUCCCCCCUCUUAUCGAGCCCGAACUGGCUGCCAAGCGACAGCCCGAGGCUGAGCUCCACCUCCUCCAUCUCCUCCCACAGCUGCCCCGGUCUCUGCUCCGGUAGCGGCGCGUCUCCCUUGCCAAUCCCGCACAGCAAGUCCCUCGGAAAAACCCUCCAUCGCGCGCGCAAGCUUGUCUCAGGGAGUCUCAGGGAGCAAGCUUGAGACUCCCUGAGACAAACUUGCGCGCACGAUGGAGGGUUUUUCAAGGGGCCUGCUGUGCCGGAUUGGUAAGGGAGACGCGCCGCCACCGGAGCAGAGGCCAGGGCAGCUGCGCGAGCAGACGGAGGAUGUGGAGCUCAGCCUUGGGCUGUCACUAGGUGGACUGUUUGGGCUGGGCAGGAAGGGGGACAAGUUCCCCCGGUUAUCGUCCGUGGCGGCCAUGCUGACGCCGCCGGUGGAGGUGCCGGCGCUGCGUGCCCUCCUGCGGACGAGCUCACUGCUGUUCCUGGCCGAGGCGUCGCGGACGAGCUCACUGCUGUUCCUGGCCGAGGCGUCGGAGGUUGGGAGGCAGCAGGGGCUGGCUGGAUGGGGUUCUUGCCGUGAUGGCGUGGAACACGCGGCGAGGCUGCCGGCGAGUGGGAGCCCUUCCUCUGCCUCGGUAGGUGAUGGGCAGAGAUUGCAAGCUUGGAAUUGAGGAUCGUUUGCAGUGGGAAGAACACUCCAUGAUAUUUGCCAUGCCAAACAAGCCAGGAGAAUUCAGCCGAUUUGAUUUCCCAGAAACUUUGCCAGCAUCUGUAGACGGGAUAUAGGCCACUGAGAAACAAUGAAAUGCUUACCUGGCUGGAGAAGGUGAAGUUUGCACUGACUUCUUCCAGCAAUGGUUGGUGGCCAACCUGAAGCUCAAGAUGGCUUAACUAUUUGAGAAUGGAUGAAAAAGCAGGAGUUCACUUUAAGUGUCUAUGCAGACAUGUCAGUAACCUGCAAGACGAAUCGAUUGGUCGAAGUAACACUGAAAUCAUCGAUGCAACUAUGGAAGAGCUAGCCAAGUUAUUUCCUGAUGAAAUUGCUGCUGAUCAGAGUAAAGCAAAGAUUCAUAAGUAUCAUGUUGUGAAGACACCGAGGUCACCGAUCAAAGGUUUCCAUGUUGCUGGUGAUUACACAAAGCAGAAAUACCUGGCUUCCAUGGAAGGUGCAGUUUUAUCUGGGAAGCUUUGCGCGCAGUCUAGAGUGCAGGCAAAUACUCACCAUGGUCCUGGUUGUACACAAAGCAUCAGAUUACUGUGUUGUUGAAUUCGUUUCAGUAUGAUACAUGUUUUGCAUGUAACGAAUAAACAUUUACUGCUUUCAGGAUUAUAGCAGGCUUGCUCUCAGGAGCCAGAAAAGCAUAUGAUCCGAAGAAGUUCUUGUUAGUUUAGCUAUCGUCAUCCCCACUGGGUGCCACCUUAUCGCCUAUUUCAUGGAAACCCACCAAAUGGUCAUGUUGGAGACACCUGUUAUGGUCCUUUGACAUUUCUUUAGAGUUGAAUUGUGACUGUAGUUGAUAUCAUAUUCGGAAAAAGCGAUAUAUAUGUAAAAGGACCUGCAUAGCAAUUGUUAGACCUUUGGGAAAGCAAAAGCGAUAAAGAGAUCUCAAAUAGAUAUUGUGUUGUAGCACUUUCA